CUCCAGAACACCGACCAGCUUCAGCGGAAACACCCGGAAGACGGCCAGAAACAUCAGAGUGCUAUCGUCGAGUCCUGCCUAGAGAAUGGGUUCUUGCAGCUCAGGUAGAACAGCAAGAUGCUAACAACAACAACUAAGUGUACAGUACCUGUCGGGCCAAAGCUAGAAUUACGGUUGGAUGGAGGAAUUCAACCAAGUCAGCUGUUUCUCUCCCUGAUGAAGGCUGGUGAGCCGACACGCGUUGG